rnacentral:rRNA from 1 species
UACAGAGGUCCCAAGCGUUGUUCGGAUUCACUGGGCGUAAAGGGUGCGUAGGCGGUCGGGUAAGUCUGACGUGAAAUCUUCAAGCUCAACUUGGAAACUGCGUCGGAUACUAUUCGGCCAGAGGAAUGGAGGGGAGACUGGAAUACUUGGUGUAGCAGUGAAAUGCGUAGAGAUCGGCAGGAACACCCAGGGCGGAAGCAGGCGACUGGGCAUUGGCUGACACUGAGGUGCGAAAGCGUGGGGAGCGAACUGG